UCGAACGGGCGAGCUGGCUCCUGGGCUGCCUGACCAGCCUUCGCUCGGGGAACGCGGAGCCCCGCUGCUCCUCUCCCUGCGCCAGCAGUAGCGGCGCAUCGCGGCCGUGCGGGCCUUGCCCUGCCGCACACCCCUCGCUGCUGCUCUGCAAACUAAACGCAGCCGGGGCCGGGCAGCCCGGCAGGACAGAGCGGGGGCUCCUGCGGGCCGCGCGUAGCGAGCGGGCGGCGACGGGAGACGCCUGGGCCGGGCGCGGCUCUACUGGAGGCGGGGCCUGGGCGCUGAGCCAUCCUGGAGGUGAAUGGAAACCUGAACUGUAGGUGUGUAAAGGCAACCUCAGACUACAUUAGUCCGAAGAGAUAUGAAAGCAUUGAGAUAAGACCCGUGGGGAGCACCUGCAGGCGUACAGAGAUCAUAAUUAAGCUAAAAACCUCAGGGAAGGUGUGUGUGAAUCCUGAUGCCCCUUGGGUAAAGAAGCUGCUGAAGCGUAUCGCUAGCACGAAGAAAAAAUAAGUUUCCUGUGAAGGAAGUUGAUGCUCAGAGCCCCGAGGUGGGCUGGCAGAUGAUGCACAGGAACCUGGUUGCUCCCCACUUUGCCCUCGCUUCCCUCCCUCGUCCCGAAAGUCCCGUGUCCAGCCCCAGCGGCGGCCGCUGCAGGGAGGGCAGCUCACUGAUGACCCAGCCCCAUGGCAGGUUCUGGAGGUGUUUCCCCCCUGCAUUCAGUCCCUGGAUGAACGUGAAUGUGAACCCUUCAUUUCUUUAUUCAAUCAUAGGCUGUAAAGGGGCCGCUCCUGCCUCUGUAGGAACAACUUUGUGACUCUUUCUGUGCAGAGCGCUCAUUGACACGGUGUGUCUGUUGUUUUUAUUACACAGCGUGGCAUGUCCUGGCCUGAGGGCUCAAGUCAAAUAAAAUUCAGGGUGUUUUCCAUUUGUUGUAGUUUCCCUGGAUCUCCCAGCCUUGAUAAACCCCACCGCUGUAGCCUUCCUGGAGCUCAAAUUCCAUCUUUU